rnacentral:rRNA from 1 species
CCUACGGGUGGCAGCAGUGGGGAAUAUUGGGCAAUGGAGGAAACUCUGACCCAGCAAUGCCGCGUGAAUGAAGAAGGUCUUCGGAUUGUAAAGCUCUUUAGUCAGGGAAGAAGUCAAUGACGGUACCUGAAGAAUAAGAUCCGGCUAACUACGUGCCAGCAGCCGCGGUAAUACGUAGGGAGCAAGCGUUGUUCGGAAUGACUGGGCGUAAAGGUUGCGUAGGCGGGUGUACAAGGUAGAAGGGAAAAACCCAGGGCUUAACUCGGGUGCUGCAUCUAAAACUGUAUGACUUGAGUGCAGUAGGGGUUAGUGGAAUUCCUGGUGUAGCGGUGGAAUGCGUAGAUAUUAGGAGGAACACCAGAGGCGAAGGCGGCUAACUGGACUGCAACUGACGCUGAGGCACGAAAGUGUGGGGAGCAAAAAGGAUUAGAUACCCUUGUAGUC